rnacentral:rRNA from 1 species
UACAGAGGUCUCAAGCGUUGUUCGGAUUCAUUGGGCGUAAAGGGUGUGUAGGUGGCGCGCUAAGUCGGGUGUGAAAUUUCGGAGCUUAACUCCGAAACUGCAUUCGAUACUGGCGUGCUUGAGGACUGGAGAGGAGACUGGAAUUUACGGUGUAGCAGCGAAAUGCGUAGAUAUCGUAAGGAAGACCAGUGGCGAAGGCGGGUCUCUGGACAGUUCCUGACACUGAGACACGAAGGCCAGGGGAGCAAACGGG